rnacentral:rRNA from 1 species
GAUGAACGCUGGCGGCGUGCCUAAUACAUGCAAGUCGAGCGAACGGACGAGAAGCUUGCUUCUCUGAUGUUAGCGGCGGACGGGUGAGUAACACGUGGAUAACCUACCUAUAAGACUGGGAUAACUUCGGGAAACCGGAGCUAAUACCGGAUAAUAUUUUGAACCGCAUGGUUCAAAAGUGAAAGACGGUCUUGCUGUCACUUAUAGAUGGAUCCGCGCUGCAUUAGCUAGUUGUUAAGGUAACGGCUUACCAAGGCAACGAUGCAUAGCCGACCUGAGAGGGUGAUCGGCCACACGGGAACUGAGACACGGUCCAGACUCCUACGGGAGGCAGCAGUAGGGAAUCUUCCGCAAUGGGCGAAAGCCUGACGGAGCAACGCCGCGUGAGUGAUGAAGGUCUUCGGAUCGUAAAACUCUGUUAUUAGGGAAGAACAUAUGUGUAAGUAACUGUGCACAUCUUGACGGUACCUAAUCAGAAAGCCACGGCUAACUACGUG